UUAUUGUUUAUAUAUAUUUUUGACAAGAUCUAUCUCAUUAUUUUCUAUUUUUUAACUUCUGUAAUUCAAUUUGUUGUAAGUUAUCAAAUAAUAAUAGUAAUUUUCUCUUAAAAAAUAAAUCCAAUAGCUUUAAAAAGAAACGAUAGAUAUUUUAGUUAGUUUUUUAAAAUACAAGAAUGACCUAAAUAAUUAACUUAAACUGUAGAUUUUUUUCUCUCUUUUUAAAUCUAUAUUAAAGUCACUGGAUAGUGGAUGAUACUAAUAAAUCAAUAUUGCAACAAUUUCUUUUUAAUUUUCACCCAUGUACGCUCACUUGCCAAAACACAAAGUGAGAAUAAGAAAAAGGCAAAAGCUUGUCCAACCAAAAAGUUGAAUGGGUUGCUACUUAUUACAAUGAUAUAAAUAUAAAAAAGAGGGUUAUAUAAACAUUGAAAACGAAAAGUGCAAUUGGAAAAUUAACCGAAAAUGAAAAAAAUUCAAGAAAAAGAAAGAGAAUCAUAAAGCACUUUUGCCAAGGUCAUCACUAUGCUUUCUUUUUCUUGGUCGGUUGAAUUGGAUAUAUCUUUCGACUUUUGGCCACUUUCUCAUAUGCAUGCCAAAAGGUUAGUCUAAUGUGGGCUUAUUAAUUAAUUUUCUCAUUUCUUUUAUUUUAUGGGUUUGCGGCGUUGUAGCCGGCGUCAUGCUGGGGUCUCUAAAAUGGCAGCCAAAGACUUGGUGCAACCGACUUGUUAACCGGUAGCACUUUUUUUUUUAAAAAAAAAAAUUUGAAAAAAAGAGAAUGAAAAUAAAAAUUUUAAAUAAAAUGUUAAAAAAUAGUAUUUUACAAUAUAAUUACAAGUAAGAAAAAAAUAGUAUUAUCAUGUUGCAUGUUUUAUGUGGUAUGUGGUAAGUUGCCAGAUUUCACGUGAAAUAUUACAUGUUGCAUGUAUUACAUCCGUUAUUGCAUAUUGGAUAUCGUUAGCGCAUGUUUCACAUCUGAUGUUACAUGUCUUGGAUCAAAUAAAAAAAGGAAAUAUUCCCAAAUAUUUCCAAUCGUUUCAUAUUUGAUGUCAAUGUUGCAUUUUUGACCUUGUGUGUUGCAUAUUUUACAUCACAUGUUUCAUGUCCUGAAUAAAGCAAAAAAAUGAAUAUUCCCGAAUAUUCCCACCUGUUUCAUAUUUGACGUCAACGUUGCAUGUUUUACAUCAUAGGUUGUAUAUUUGACGUGAAAUGUUGCAUGCUGCAUGUUUUACAUAAAUUGUUGCAUGUUUGACGCAUUAUUGCAUGGUUGACGUCAAAUGUUGCACGUCUUGAAUAAAGUAAAAAAUAAGGAAUAUUCCCUAAUCUUCCCACCGCUUUCAUGUUUGACGUCAACGUUGCAUGUUUUACGUGAUAGGUUGCAUACUUAAUGUGAAAUGUUGCAUGUUGCAUGUUUUACAUAAGUUGUUGCAUGGUUGACGUCGAUGUUGCAUGUCUUGAAUAAAACAAAAAUAAGGAGUCUUGAAUAAAGCCAAAAAUAAGGAAUGUUCUUAAAUAUUCUCACUCGUCCCAUGUUUGAUGUCAUCGUUGCUUGUUUUACGUGGUAAGUUUCAUAUUUGAUGUGAAAUAUUGUAGGUUGCAUAUUUUACAUCGGUUGUUGCAUGUUUGACGUCAAAUGUUGCAUGUCUUCAAUAAAGCCAAAAAAGAAAUAUUUUCAAAUAUUCUCGGUCGUCCCAUAUCUGACGUCAACAUUGCGUGUUUUACGAGAUAUGUUGCAUAUUUGACAUGAAAUAUUUCAAGUUGCAUGUGUGACGUCAUUUUUAUAUGUUUCACGUUAGAUGCAUGCAUGUCUUGAAUAAAGUAAAAAUUUUAAACUUUCCCCGCCCAUUUCAUAUUUCACGUCAUUCUUCCAUAUUUGACCCGAGUUGUUGCAUUUGUUUCAUUACACUUUGCAUGUUUUACGUCAAACGUUGCAUGUCUUGAAUAAAGUACAAAAUUUCAAAAUUUUCUACCCGUUUCAUAUUUCAUAUCCUUUUGUUCGUGUUUGACCUGAGUUGCUACAUUUGUUUAGUUAGUUCUUGCAUGUUUCGUUGAAGUCGUGUUUAACCCUUAGUAUGUGCACCUAAUUAACAGGACAUACUUACUAACUUUUAGUUGCUAUGUGGUUUGAAGAAAGGGGAGGAGAGGAGAGGAGUGAACAGGAGGGGAAGCGAUAAGAAAGGAGAUGAGUAGAAUAAUGAAAGUAAUGUUGGUGUUGCUACGGUUUAGUUUAGUUGGAUUUGCAAAAUAAGUAGUCGGGUUUGCUUACACACAGUUACUUGUGGGUGAAAUUACUUUAGGGGUAUGAAAUAAAGGUACAAGGUACACAUUCUUUACUUAGGAUGUACUUGUACAUAUUUGGCGUAUAAUGUGUACAAGCACACUAGCUUGAUGGCAUGUAAUCGUAAAAUUGGCUCAAAGUUAGAUAAAUUAUUCAGACGGGCGUUUGGUCCACACAAUUUUACUUACCUCAUUCGAAGUCGGUCGGAGGAGAAAAUAUAGCCACCAAUACAUGCAUUGAAUUGAAGACCAAGCAUUCAAAUACAACCAUUCAAUUGAAGACCAAGGUGAUUAAACCAAAUACAAGCAUUCAAUUGAAGACCAAAAGCAUUUGAAUACACAUAGAAAGUUAAAUUUGAAAGAGGUACUAGACAUUUAACUACAGUUUUAAAUUUCUUAUACAAAGUUAAGAGAACACUAGUUCCAAAUUUUGUACUAACUAUGAAGACACUACUCCAGCCAACCAGUAUUGCCUUGAUCUUAAUGCGCAGAGCUACGUCAUUGCUGAUUCUCUGAAGGUGUGUCAGUGAUACCCUAGAAUAAUCUGCAAUCACACAUGAAAUUAGUAUAGCUAAUCAAUGAGAGUAAAUGCAAUAAAACUGAAAAGAAGUGUUCACAUGGUCCUAGAAAGACACCUAUAUUUCUCAUAUAGUACUUUAAAACAUCCGCGCAUGUCAUAAAACCACAUCAGUUGUACCUCCGUACCAUACAGCCAUAGUUUAGCUAAGUUUUCGACACUUCUUCUCAUUCGUUAAUUUCUUCCAUUUUUCAACAAUUGUUAGCCUACAAACUUUUUUAGACCUUGCUUGCCUGAACUUUCUACUUCAUGCUUAUUAUACACAACAUUUAAUUAGUUCAACUAAUAACAUCGAUAAAAUUGACAGAUAUGAUAAUAAGAACUUUAUACAAAGUAUUACUUUAUACUUACAAAAAGUAUAUCCACGCUCUAUGACUAGGUCCUCCUUUUCUAGCUUAUGUGGAUUUCAUUUUAUAACUGUAUUCUAUUAUUCAAAUCCUAUAAUAGACCACACAUAAAUGUAGUGUCAAUUUAAUCUAUAACAAGAGCUAAAGGAAAGAACAAUAAAUAUUAGUUGGGGAGGAAAAUGGUUUGCGAAAGACAGGGGAACAGUAAUUGGGGAGUAUACAAAUUCAAUAAGUGAAAAUUAAGUGAUGAGUAAACAAAUUCAAUAAGUGAAAAUUAAGUGAUGAGUAAACAAAUUCAAUAAGUGAAAAUUAAGGAUUUGAGAGAGAUAAAAUUGCUAGCAACCGGCACUUCAACUUGCCUUUUUUUUCUUAUUUUUAUUUAAUAUUAAAUCUCAACCGUUGGAUUCGAUUAGAUUGAAUCCAACGGUUUGUUUUCAAUUCCGGCAUGGUGCCGGGGCUUAAUGCCCGGCAUUGUAGCAUCAGCCUUAUUUUAUUACUUUUGUUAGCAUACUAAAGAUCUGAGAGAUUGACAACUGUGAGGUCCAUUUGGGUACGUUACAUAUAAAAUAUGAACAAUUUCAGUUUCCAGAGCUGAGGCUUCCCAAAUUCCUAGAAAACUGAAACAAACACCUCUGUGCUUGUGGUUUCCAAAUUCCAAUCCAUCUCCAAAUUUCGAACGGACAAAACCAGAUGCUCUUUUGUCUUUCAAAUAUUUGUCUUCAAGCGGAUAUAUAAACUUUUGUACUUAGCCACUAGCUUUCGUGUUCCACUGAUUUAACAAAAUGAGAAUUAGCUAUUAAGGGCUUAAUUGUGUAGUUUUUAAAUAGUUUUUGUUAACCGAUUAUAUAAAUUCGAAUCUUACGAGGGGAAAUAGGAUCCUGUUUUUUUAAAUAAUUUGUUUAGAGUCCUCAAAAUGUGUUCGAGAAACUUUCAGAGGUCUCUUUUAAAGAUUCAGCAAAAAUGUUUAACAAAUUUUUAGUUUCUUGAUCAAAACCCAACCCCCCCUUUUUUUGUACUUUAAAUCGUAUUCUUUUUUGAGCACACAGAAUCAAAGAAACUGUAAAUUGUUGACU
rnacentral:lncRNA from 1 species